AGCAGCCGCGGUAAUUCCAGCUCCAAUAGCGUAUAUUAAAGUUGUUGCAGUUAAAAAGCUCGUAGUUGAAUUUCGGGAUCAAUUAAUUGGUCGUGCCUAUGGUACGUACUGAUUUUAUUGGUUUCUCCCUUCUGACGAACCAUGAUGUCAUUAAUUUGGUGUCGUGGAGAAUCAGGACUGUUACUUUGAAAAAUUAGAGUGUUUAAAGCAGGCUAACGCUUGAAUACAUUAGCAUGGAAUAAUGAAAUAGGACGUUUGAUCCUAUUUUGUUGGUUUCUAGGAUCGACGUAAUGAUUAAUAGGGAUAGUUGGGGGCAUUAGUAUUCAAUUGUCAGAGGUGAAAUUCUUGGAUUUAUUGAGGACUAACUACUGCGAAAGCAUUUGCCAAGGAUGUUUUCAUUAAUACAAGAACGAAAGUUAGGGGAUCGAAGACGAUCAGAUACCGUCGUAGUCUUAACCAUAAACUAUAGCCGACUAGGGAUCGGGAUGAUGUUAAUUUU
rnacentral:rRNA from 1 species